UCAAUUCUCCUCAUUACAGAUUCUUCUAAUUUUAGUGUACUCUUCUGAGAGAAAUGGGAUUGGGGGUAAGGAAAAGUUUCAGACAAUAUGGAGUUUUAGGUACCUCAUUUUAGAAGGAACAUUAACAAGACAGUUGCCAGAGGAAAGUUACCAGGAAAAUGAGAUAACUGGAGACUAUGCCACAUGAGAAGAGAAUGAAAGAACUGCCACCUGACUGCUUGUGAGGGGGGAGAAGGAAGGAAGUAUCAUGGGUGACUGGAAACUAUACCAUAUGAAAACUGUCUGAAGAAACUGAGGAUGUUUAAACUGGAGAAGAAAUGGGAUAAAUGAAAGGCCAGUUGGGUGGAGGAAGGAAGAAGGAUCCAUUUGAAAAUGAAGAUAAUGGGGGGAAAAACAAAUGACAUCAAUUAAAGAAAAUUUAAAGAAAAAGCACAGUAGGCACUUCAGCAUGUUUGUUGAAUCGAACUCCAUUGGCAAUUAGAAGGUAAUAGGUGACCUUGGGAAGAACUGUUUCAGUAGAAUGGUAGGAACAGAAGCCAGAUUGCAGAGAGCUGUUGAGUGAGUGAGUGGGUGGUGAGAAAGUGUAGAGUUUUGUUCUACAAUAGGAUUUUGUACUUUACAAAAGGAUUCACCAUAGGAUUCCCUCCACAUGUCUAUUAAAAACCUGCUUCCCUCUAGCAAAACAGAAGGCAGCCCACUCCCUAUAGCAACAACCUUUCUGGAGCUGUGAUAUCUCAGCAUUAUUAUUUACUUGAUUUCUUGACACUCCUACCCACCUCCAAAAAAGUGCUUUCUUUUUUUUUUUUUAACAAGUGAAACAAUUGAUUUUGUGCUGAGAAUUUCCCAGCAUCCUGCUACAUAAUAGAAUACUCCUGGAUUUCUGGAGUUAAAAAGCAUUGCCCCCUACACAUAUAAGAUCUAUGUGGUAGUAUGUUAGAUGAGGGAUUAUGAUAUGUUUGCUUCCACAUUUUUCCUUUGAACAAUCUCAGAACAAAGUCAUCUAAAUUAGGUUCAUAACCGUCCAAGACUUUGGUCUAACUAUCCAUACAGGAAAAAAAAAGAAGGCUUAUUGUCCACUUUGGUUUGUGGUAUGAGGCUAUGAUGUACUAAUAACAAUAAUAAUAUGAAGAAGAAAAAGAACUAGCAUUUUUAUAGAAUUUAAAGUGCUUUUCUUGUGUUGAUUCAAUUGGUCCUCACAACAACCCUGUGAGGUAGGUGGUAUUAUUAUCCUUAUUUUGCAAAUGAAGAAACAGAUUGAGAAAAGUUAAAUGACUUGCCCAAAGUCCAACAUCUGGUAUGUGUCUAAAUCAGAAUUGGAACUUAGUUUUUUCUAACUCUAAGUUCAUCAUUCUAGCCACUGUGCCUCCCACCUGCCAGAUCUAUAACUUGAUAGUCAACACAUUGUUGAUUUUGACCUCUGGAUUUUUGAUGAUUAGGCCCAGAAUUGAAGAGGAGGUGAAUGGGCUGGAUAACAUUUGGUACAUUGUAUAGCUCACCAUAAUAGAGAUUUGCAAUAAUACAUUUCUGUUUUACAAUGUGGUAAUGUUUGUAUUAUUUGGUGCUUAAGUUCAGAAUAAAAAUAAACCCAAUUGGAAAGAUGUGUUAGGCUUCUAACAGUCCCAAGCUACAAACACCUAUCUUUUUUUUAAACAUCCGUAUUCUUCAUAGGAUCAUAGAUCUAGAGUUGGAAAAGAAGUCCAAUUCAACUCCUCCAUUUUAUUCAUGAGGCAUCUGAGGCUCAGGAAAAUAAAGGAACUUACCCAAAAAUCACAAUAGGUAAAUGCCAGAAGUAGGAUUUGAACCCAAGUCUUUUAAUUCCAUAAUCAGUGACCUUUUCCUAGUACUACCUAUCUUUCAAACCAUAGUUUUUAAAGGAUUAAAGUUACCAUUCCCAAAAAGGCAAUGGAGAAGUAUGAGUUUGGGUGUGAGCUUUCUACAGCAUAUUACCAAUAAAGAACUGUUCAAAAUCAAUGUAGCUAUGUGACUGUAAAAGGAAUUGGUCUAGUAAUGUAAGGAAAGUAAAAGGCAAUCAAUGGGCAUCACACAUGGGUAUACCAUUGUUAUCUAUUCCGUGUUAAAUAGUUUUAGAAGAAUUCUUGCAUGUUGGGUAGAUUCCUUGGUGAGAGGCAGAGGGAAAAGAAAUUAAUGGGAAGAAAUGGAUGAGGAUGAAAGAGUAUAGGGAAUGGAUAAAGCAUUGAAACAAUUCUUCAUUUUCUCUUUAUUCAUGGGAAGUUGAAUGACAAAGAAGGAUUCAAUGUUUCAUUAGUGUUGAGAAUCUAUAUCACAGUUAGGAAACAAUUUUAACCCCCUCCCAAAAAAUUAGAAACAUGAAAAUUAAAUGACAAUAUUAAUACCAGCAUGUAAGAAUGAGACUAAAAGUUGCAAUCAUACUCCCUCAAGAAUCAUUGUAUUUCUUUUAAAAAAUUAAUAGAUGAUAUAUCAGAUUGCUUACCAUCUCAGGGAAGGGAGAGAAGAGAGAAGAUGGGAGAAAAAGAGAAAGUCUGGAACUCGAAAAAAAUUUUUAAUGAAUGAUAAAAAUUGUUUUUACAUGUAAUUGGGGAAAAAAUAAGACAUGAUUUAAAAGAUAAUAGAUAAGAGUGAAUCAGAAAAAAAAAUCAAAACAAAGGUAUUUUUUAUCCAUAAA